UAAUACUGCUAAUGCCACCACCACCACCACUAUCAUCACCAUUUUCAUUUGGACUAUACAGAAUAAAAUGUGAAAGUCUGUCUUCAUCUCCCCCCUCACCCAAACCCAAAUCAGAGAUAACUACUAGCAGUUUGAUGUAUAUCCUUUAGAGCUUUUCUUUUAUAUGAAUUUGCAAUCUUCCACCCCACUGGUUCCUUUAUAGCACCUGACCACCUCUUCUAAAUUAUACAUAAACGAAGCAAUAUCUUACAAUGCUUUCCAUGUCAACUCACAUAUAGACAACUUAAAAAAAAAUACCAAAGGCUUACACCGUUGGUUGUUGGUGUUUUUAUUUUAUAGGUUUAGCAAACCACACACAAAGCCAAUGGGUUACUUUCAUUCCUAGUCCUUAUCAUCUGAUUUUUGUGUUCUAGC
rnacentral:lncRNA from 1 species